UGAUUGCAUUGCGUAUAGGACCGUUUCAAAUGUUACGCGAGUUUUGCAUAACAACAACUAAAAUGCGACAUCAUCAUCGCGGGAAAACGAAAAUUCGCCAAGAAUGAAAAUUCAGCCUCCACCCAGAAGUAGGAUCUUGAAGGUAAGCCCGGUAAGCCAUUGUCGGGUACUCGGAAGAUCUGAACCAGAUCUGCUGCUAAAGGGCGAUCCUGGAACUAGUUCUAAACAGAUCAUCGGAUCUGGGUGUUUAUGGCGUCUUUCGGAAUAUCCGCGACAACUCGGAACCGAUGUCGGAACUGCGUUAUAGAUGGAAGUGGAAUUUUCCCUCGAAUUUUGUGCAAGCCGGGCAUGAUAGCUCACUCGGAACUGACCGACCGACUUCGGCAAGGAAGGAGUCAUCAGGCAACAGUUUCGAUGACGAUGAGGAUGAAUUUGAACCAGCUAUUUUGAACAAUCAGCACCGGCGAAAGCUGCAGCCUCGACUGUAGGGAAAAAAUGUCAGCUCCAGCAGCUAAACCUACAGCAUCUGUGACUGCCAGUUCCGGCCAACAAGCAAGUCGAGUAAAAACUCUUGCAAGGAAGAAAGAGGAACAACUGCUUUUGAAGAAACUGUGGUGGUGAUGGCGGUGACUUCUGCCAAGAAAAAUGAGGAAACCUCCGGAUUCCGACGCGGAGUCUAAGGAGAAACUAUUGCGGUCUCGGUCAGAAACGGAAAAAGGAUGAAGAAGAGAAGGUAGUGAUGUUGAAUAGGAAGAAUAGGAAUAGGAAGGUCCAUAAUAAAAUAACUUAUAAAAUGAUUCAUAAAAUUUGAUUUUUUUUAAUUCAAGUGAAUGAUAGCUCCGUUUAUAAGUUAAAAAAUUCCAAUCCAGGUUU